GAAGCCCACACUUGCGCGUUGACCCGAGCACAACCCUCUCUCUCUUCCUUUCCGGUUGCCUCCUCUGCUCCGGCGUGGCGUCGCCAGUUCCGGCCGCUGCAUGCCUCGAAAUCGCCACCAAUCUCUUCCUCUUCUUCUUCUCUUUAAAACCAGUGAUAAAAUUCCACAAACAACCCCGGAUUCAUGGAGAUCGAAAUUGAUGAACACCACUGUGUUCAUCAGAAUCCGGCAAGCUCCCGGCGGCGAUUAGACCUUUGAAGCUUCGGCGACUUGCGUUCGGUGGUUUCCGGCGAGUGCUUCGGGUUUUGGUGAGUCCUUGAAGCCUAGUGGGGAGUCCGGUGGGACCUUGGAGUGACUUGUGGAGCUGCAGUCACCGAACUGGACCAAGGCAGAGGCUUGGUGUGUUUGGCUAGAGAGGACCUGUGGUGAUGUGGUGCUGAUUCGGUGGAGGUGGCGACUAAGGCAGCAACUGGGGAUGUUUGGAGGUUCUUCAUGUUGAGUUUUGGCAAGGAGGAGCUACUGGUUUGCGAAGAAGAGCAGAUUGAAGUUUGGAGUAUUUGGGGAAGCUAUGGCAAAAUUUCGACCAGUCGCCGGAAUAUGGUGAGUAUUUAUGGCAAGUCGCCGAAAUCCCGAUAGAGAUUCCGGCGAGGCAGCAGUUCCGGCAGAAUUCAUGAAGGUAGCUUGUCGACUUUCCUUUUACGUUUAAGUUGUAGUUUACGGUUUAGAAAAACCUGCCACAUUUAGAAAAUUUCUAUUUUUUGAAACUUUCCAUUAUGGAAACCCUUUUGGGUGCCCUUAGC